CCCUUAGAUGUUCUGGGCAGCACGCGCGCUACAAUGGUCUUCGCAAACGGAUGCAUUCUCGAAGGAGAAUGCCAAUCUUGGAAUCUAUGCCUUGGUCGGGACAGUUGCUUGCAAUUUUUCGACUCGAACCAGGAAUUCCUUGUAAUCGUGAUUCAUCACAUCACGAUGAAUACGUCCCUGCCCUUUGUACACACCGCCCGUCGCUCCUACCGAUUGAAUGUUCCGAUGAAUACCAUGGACUGAGAGUACGAAUGGGUUCGCCUAUUUCUACUUCUCGGGAAGUGGAGUAAAUCUUAACAUUUAGAGGAAGGAGAAGUCGUAACA
rnacentral:rRNA from 1 species